rnacentral:rRNA from 1 species
UCUGGCGGCUUUAGCGCGGUGGUCCCACCUGACACCAUGCCGAACUCAGAAGUGAAACGCCGUAGCGCCGAUGGUAGUGUGGGGUCUCCCCAUGUGAGAGUAGGGAACUGCCAGAC